rnacentral:rRNA from 1 species
UACGAAGGGGGCUAGCGUUGCUCGGAAUCACUGGGCGUAAAGGGUGCGUAGGCGGGUCUUUAAGUCAGGGGUGAAAUCCUGGAGCUCAACUCCAGAACUGCCUUUGAUACUGAGGAUCUUGAGUUCGGGAGAGGUGAGUGGAACUGCGAGUGUAGCGGUGAAAUUCGUAGAUAUUCGCAAGAACACCGGUGGCGAAGGCGGCCAACUGGUCCGAAACUGACGCUGAGGCGCGAAAGCGUGGGGAGCAAACAGG